AUUGAACGCUGGCGGCAGGCCUAACACAUGCAAGUCGAGCGGCAGCGGGAAAGUAGCUUGCUACUUUUGCCGGCGAGCGGCGGACGGGUGAGUAAUGCCUGGGAAAUUGCCCAGUCGAGGGGGAUAACAGUUGGAAACGACUGCUAAUACCGCAUACGCCCUACGGGGGAAAGCAGGGGGCCCUCGGGCCUUGCGCGGACGGAUAGGCGCGGGUGGGGUUAGCGAGGUGGUGGGGUAAUGGCUCACCAAGGCGACGAUCCCCAGCUGGUCUGAGAGGAUGAUCAGCCACACUGGAACUGAGACACGGUCCAGACUCCUACGGGAGGCAGCAGUGGGGAAUAUUGCACAAUGGGGGAAACCCUGAUGCAGCCAUGCCGCGUGUGUGAAGAAGGCCUUCGGGUUGUAAAGCACUUUCAGCGAGGAGGAAAGGUUGAUGCCUAAUACGUAUCAACUGUGACGUUACUCGCAGAAGAAGCACCGGCUAACUCCGUGCCAGCCGCCGCCGUAAAAC
rnacentral:rRNA from 1 species